rnacentral:rRNA from 1 species
UACGAAGGGUGCAAGCGUUAAUCGGAAUUACUGGGCGUAAAGCGUGCGCAGGCGGUUUGUUAAGUCUGCUGUGAAAUCCCCGAGCUCAACUUGGGAAUUGCAGUGGAUACUGGCAAGCUGGAGUACGGUAGAGGAAGGUGGAAUUCCCGGUGUAGCAGUGAAAUGCGUAGAGAUCGGGAGGAACACCAGUGGCGAAGGCGGCUCACUGGUCCGGUACUGACGCUGAGGUGCGAAAGCGUGGGGAGCAAACAGG